UACGUAGGGGGCAAGCGUUGUUCGGAAUUACUGGGCGUAAAGGGCGCGUAGGCGGCACAGCAAGUCGGGAGUGAAAGCCCGGGGCUCAACCCCGGAACGGCUUUCGAAACUGCUGAGCUAGAGUGCGGAAGGGGCAACCGGAAUUCCCAGUGUAGCGGUGAAAUGCGUAGAUAUCAAGAGGAACACCUGAGGUGAAGACGGGUUGCUGGGCUGACACUGACGCUGAGGCGCGAAAGCCAGGGGAGCAAACGGG
rnacentral:rRNA from 1 species